GAGUUCAAAUGUCACCAACAACAUCUUCAUUGCUUUCCUUCCUGUUUGCUGCUGCAUGAACGCUCCCAGCGAUGGCUAGGCAGCUGUCUGUCACCAACACGAAUCAGAAGUUCCCAAAGGACUCUUUUUGUUACUUGAAACCUUUUUGGUACAGGCACAGUAGCACAAUUCAGCUUCCAGAAAGAGGCAGGAGGAACUCAAGUUUGAAGUCACCUUGCUUCAAUAGGAGGAAGUACUCACAAGAGAAAGUGCGAGCGCAGACAUAAUUCUGGAAGCAGCCGGCCUGGACAGGAACAGUGAAGAGGAACUGGGUUCCAGAUUCCCGACGCUAUUGCGCACCUGCAUCCUGGAGGCCUUGGGGAAGGUUAGACCUCAAAGGGCUGCUGAACUGUGCCUGAGACUUGCAAGCUCUGCUAGAUGCCUUCCCUGUCAUUUUCCUCUCCAGCUAUUUCCUCCCUCUGUGCCCAACACUACGGAAAUACAUUUUUUCUAAUGAAGAGAUAGUCUGAGCCAGAAUGAUGACUCUUUCUGCUUUUUAAAAAGAGGUUCCAUAUGACUAUGACCUGUGACUCUGACAAGAAGACUCACAAUUUGAACAUUCCAGAACAUUUGCUUUUACUUUUGAUUCUAUAUUUUAGGAAUUAAAAACAAGAGAAACCUCACCACCGCCAAGCACAGGAACUAGGUUAAACUGCAGGGCCUUGCGGGAUGGAUCUGGAUAGUGCAGUAGCUGGCAGUGAGGAAGCCGUGGUCCACACCUCUAUUGGGUGCAGAGGGGAGCUAGCUGGGUUGGAGAAGCAAGCCCAGGCUGGAGAGCCCGAUUUUCAGCAAAAAAAUUCCUGACUUGUCCUGGAGAUUAGGCUAGAGAAACCACCCUGUUAGAGACGUCUUUGGAAUUGGGUUAGAACAGGGCUGAGGGGAGUUCUUGUUAGAGACCCGGGGCAGAAAGACACAGUUUUUGUUGUUGCUGUUGUUUUUUUUUUUCCUCUAAGACAAAAGCCGGGGAAGGUCUUAGGGUGGAGAGAAAGGAAGCUUGUGAAUGAGCAAGCUUACAAACGUGGGAAAAAUAAUUCUAAACAAGCAUCGACACACAUUUUCCUGUAACCUGAUAUCCAAAGGUGUAGCUGGCCAGCUCUGCUGGUUCUCUGAAAAUGUCCACCUGAGAAACAGGCAUACUUUUGGAUAAAGGUGGCUGGAGAACCUAUUAUUCUGCAUGGAGAGAUCAGAAUUAUUGUAUGUUAAAGCUCAGCAUACUGCAAAUGUUUGGGACAGUAUUACUUUUCUUAAACUGUGUUGGUGUCUAAGUGUUUCAGAAUAUGUGGGAAACAAAGAGGUUUUUGCCAGGGAAGAGAGAGAUGAGGCAGACAAACUUUCUGGAGAAGCUAAGUGCUCUUUUUUGCUCAUCUGUGGGGGAAAACCACUUUUCAUCAGUGCACAUUUGUUUUUGCUUUUCUGUGUUUGCACUGUGGAAAGGGCUUUGCUGGUAUAGACUUUCUGAGAUGGUCUACACUUUGAAUACUUAUGGUCUCUAUAAAUCAUCUAAGUAUCAGAGAAAUACCAAUUUUCAAAUAUUUUGAUGUGUAGGCAGUAUGUUUAGGUUGGCUUAGUUCUGUACCUUAUUUUUUUAAUAUGCUUUUUUUCUUUAUGUCCAGUUUUUUUUGGGGGGGUUGUUUUUAUAUUCUAAAUACCCUCUGUCAGAUGUACAGUCACUAAAGAAUUUCCCCCUCACUCCAUGGGCUUUUUCUGCCAAUGAUGAUGUCUUUUGUUGUGAUCACGAAUCUCACCCAGUUACAAGCCCUGCAAGCUGUAUUAAUAACCCACCUAUAAGAUAUGCCCACUGGUGCAAUAGUGUCACAGUAUUAUGGGAGUAACCAUCUACAUUUUGCCAUCUACCUUUUUACUGAAUUUUAGAUGGAGCUCAAGCCUGAUAUUGUUAAUUAGGUCAAGAACCUGAGACUGGAUAGGUCAUGUGCUCAUAGAAAACCCACUAGAGGAGGCAGAAGGAUGUAAGAGCUAGAGGCAGUGGAAGCUUUUAAAGAAACAGCAUCUGUCUUCUUAUUUAGCAUCAUUUAUUUAUUGGUUCUUUGGGAAUUUCACAUCAUGAACCCUAAUUCUGCUCACCUCCUGUCCCUCAUGCAGUGCCCCCGAAAGAAAAUUUACAAAAAUCAAACCAAACCAAACCAAAGCAAGCAAGCAAACAAAAACAAGAACAAACCAAACCACUCCCCAAAAAGAACUCCCAAGAAACACCCCACUUCUUUCCUGCCUCUCCAAUAUCUCUUCCUUCAUCCUGGAGGCAUUGGAACCGUGGUGUGUCUCAUAGUACAGCCUUUUGUCCAAUCAACUUUACUAGCAAGUGUUCAUUGCAAUGAGUCACUGGUCUGGUUCAAGGCCUCUGGUUUCUGAUACAUCAUCGUCACUGGAUCCUCACCAGAACUCCUCUGGGAUAUCCCACAGCGUCUCUGAGUCAUGGAGAUCCUGUAGGUAAUGUUCCACAGGACCAGUCCCUUGACAGUCUCCAGCAGGUCCUAGAUGGGGAAGAUGUCAGGAUGGGUCAGUCCAAAGUCCAGCUGUGGGCCUGGGUGGUAGCUGAGUUCCUCAGUCUGCCUAUUGGGGUCACCUGCCUCAGGCAAAGGGGAGGAGUCAGCUCCUCUAUGCCUAUGCCAUUAAGGUCCGUCCUCCCUCACUUGUGGUGAGGGGUGAGGCCAUCUCUCCUGAGUGCAGGGGCCAGCUCUCCAGUGAAGGUUGGAACCAAUUUUAUUGCUGCAGUGUCCUGUGAGAGGCAGGGCCAGCUUUCCCCAGCCUAGUGAAGGGCAGGGCUGACUCAGCAUAGCUCUCAUGAGUGGUUCCUAUGGCCACCUUGGUGACAGAGGUAACAGACAUGAACACAGACCCCAGCUGCAGCUGGGAUCGUGGACUCAGACAUGGCCCUUGGCAGUAACUCUGGCCUGGAUGACAUCCUGGCUUUGUGAGGGAGCUCUAGCCACUCAGAUCAAGAUGGCUGUCAUGGCAGCUUGGCCCUUAGAUGCCACCAAGGCUUCAGGUUGUAGGCCAAAUCCUGGGCUUCUGUUCAAUCUUUGGUAUCAAUAUGGCACUAGGACUUCAGCACAGACCCCAGCUGCGGUAGGACAACGGACCCAGACUUGGUCCUCAGCAGCAACAGGGUCUGGAUGUUACCAUUGCUCCAGAUGGCAGUGUAGGCCUUUCAGAUUGGCAGGCACAGCCCCAGCAGCAGUGUGGCCCUCGAACACCAAUAUGUCCCCAGACCUUGGACAUCCCAUGGCCUUCAAAGGUAACAGGAGCUUCAGACAUCAACACUUAUCCUGGUUGUAAUAGGGCCACAGACUCAGACAUAGCCCUCCGAUGCAACUCUGGCCCAGAUGACACCCUGGCAUUGGGUAGUGGUACAGGCCGCUCAGAUCUGCAUGACUCCAAGCAGCAUGACACUCGGACGCCAACAUGGACUCAGGUGGUUGACCUGAUCCUGGGCAUCUACAUGGCCCUCAGUGUAAACUGGAGCCACAUAUGUCAACCUAGACCCUUGUCACUAUAGGGCCACAGGCAUGGUCCUCAGCAGGAGCCGGGGUCUGGAUGUCACCAUAGCCUCAGGUGGCAGCCAAGGCCACCCAGAUCAUCAGGGCCCCAGUGGCAGUGUGACACCUGGACACCAACAAGGCCCCAGGUGGCAGUCCAGACCCCUGGAAUCAGAGUGGCACUCGGUGGUACCAGGAGCCACGGACAUCAACACAGGCCCUGGCUGCGCUGGGCCACUAAGAAAGAGCAUUUCCAAGACGCAAUAGAGCAGAUGCACAUAUGCAUUCAUAGAGACUGUGACAGCAUGAACACAACCUGUGUGAGCUCAAGCCAGACAUCCCAGCCCUGAGGAAGAGCAAGUGGGUACAAGUCCUACCACUAAGAAGCUGUCUGCAAAUACUAACUGCUGGGAGAAGGGAAUGGAAUGGUACUGGAUAUAUCAAUUGCACCCCAUGGCAGGCCCUUUGCUUAGGAGCAAUUGGCCAACACAAAAUCAUUGAACUCCAUGUUUUUUAGAGAUUUUCUUUAUUUCUUAAUUUUUUUUUCAAGAGAGAAACAACAUGAAGUUGAAUGGGUAGGGAGGUAGAGGGUGGAAUCUGGAAGGGGUUGGGGGAUGGAAAACAAAAUGACAAAAGUAUAUUGUAUGUGAUUCUCAAAGAAUUGAUUGAAAAAUCAAUUUAGAGUAUUAGAUGUAUUUCCAUGGCCCCAUAUUGCUAUUUGAUAUGCCUUGUAUUAUAGGAUAUAAAAUGAGCAUUUCACCUAUAAAAUGUUAAGAUGGCACCCAACACAGGCAAUGGCUUCCCAUAAUUCAACAUCCCAAUAGUAUCUGGUAGUAUUAAAAAAUAAAUGAGUGGAUGAUUUUA